CAGAGACAGAAACGAAACCCCUUCGUGUCAUUUCGUCUCGACUCUCGGACCGUGGAAGCGUAUUACCUGUUCAAAACUAUCAGAUUGGUUCACAGUCUGAGAGCGAUUCGGUCAAGAUUCCUGGAGAAAACAACUUCCUAAACCCGGCAAUGCAAUGUGCCUCCCCAGACGGGUUCCUGCCGCCUCCUGUUAGCGUUUCCAGCCCGUCAGCUGCCGGCAGGCCCAUUGGAGAGGGCCCACCUGGCUGCCCCCUGGGGCAAUCCGUGUCCGCGGCCACCGUCCCACCCUGGCGCUGACCCUGCAUGCAACAGGAGAGCCUGGCCCUUCCAGUGGGACAUCUCAGACCCAGGUAAUGGCAAAGUCAUUGCUCGAGGCCGCCGAGCCUCGCUGAGCCCUCUCAUUCCUUUCUCUAAGGGCCUGCAGCCAAAGCCCUGUGAAUUACAAAGGAGAUGGCCUGCAGUGACAACGGCCCAAGGCCACCUCCCUGCACCUGGGCAUCUCCCCGGGUACCUCUGGGCCAGGUAGCUCUGUGCUGCCUUCUCUCCUCCACCCCAGGAACCGUGGUGUUUACUCUGUGCGUGGACACUCCAUUCCUGCCUGCAGAACUUGGGGAUGCUUGAGGGCAGCCACUCUCCUGGGCCCCCCGGGGGGACAAGUGGCCAAGUCUGGAGACAUUCUUGCGUUCCUGGUCGUCACAAUUGAGGGAAGGGGGUUGCUACUGGC
rnacentral:lncRNA from 1 species